rnacentral:lncRNA from 1 species
UCUCCAGAUGUCGUCCAUUUUUAACUUCGCUCCAGCAAGUAGCAGAUCAGCAAGGUUGACCAUAGAGUGCUUCAUAGGGGUCACGCCAAUACUAGAGUAGCAACUGUUGUUGUAGGCAAACUCAAUUAGGAGUAGGUGGCGAUCUCAUCUACCACAAAGUCGAGCACACAGGCGCGCAACAUAUUCUUCAGCAUUUGAAUGGUUCUUUUGCACUAAUCAUCUAUCUGUGGAUGAUAGGUGGUGCUGAAGGAUAGACUAGUGCGUAGAGCCUCUAGAAAUAAGUCCAAAAUGGGGAUGUGAAACGAGAGUCCCUAUCGGACACUAUAGAAAUUG